CCUACGUGGGGCUGCAGUGGGGAAUAUUGGACAAUGGGCGAAAGCCUGAUCCAGCCAUGCCGCGUGUGUGAAGAAGGCCUUCGGGGUGUAAAGCACUUUCAGUGGGGAAGAAAGCCUUGGGGCUAAUACCCUCGAGGAAGGACAUCACCCACAGAAGAAGCACCGGCUAACUCCGUGCCAGCAGCCGCGGUAAUACGGAGGGUGCGAGCGUUAAUCGGAAUUACUGGGCGUAAAGCGCGCGUAGGCGGUCUGAUAAGCCGGUUGGGAAAGCCCCGGGCUCAACCUGGGAACGGCAUCCGGAACUGUCAGGCUAGAGUGCAGGAGAGGAAGGUAGAAUUCCCGGUGUAGCGGUGAAAUGCGUAGAGAUCGGGAGGAAUACCAGUGGCGAAGGCGGCCUUCUGGACUGACACUGACGCUGAGGUGCGAAAGCGUGGGUAGCAAACAGGAUUAGAUACCCUAGUAGUC
rnacentral:rRNA from 1 species